rnacentral:lncRNA from 1 species
GUGGGAGUGGGGGAGAUUGGGCUAGGAGGACAGAUGAUUUCAAUUUAAGUUCAGCAUUUGGGGAGAAUAUUGUUCCACUUGCUCAUUUUUCUUAGUUUCCCCUCCCCCUUACCCCCAACCUUUAUUUGGGCCAGUGGUGGACAGGAGAGAUCUGUUCCCAUGGCAACCCCUCGGAGAGUGCGUGGUAAGUAGUGUGGGCAGGGCCGACUGGGCUUUCUUUCAUCAGGGUAGUCCAGGAGGUAGGUUCUCACUCUGCUGGGCCAGGAAAAGGAAGUCUGGAGAGGAUGGCGGUCCUUGGGGACAGAAGCUGCUCCUAAUCCCCACCCUCUCAUCACCUGGCAGAAACAAGAUACUACAUCUUGGCAAGAGUGGGAAGAUAAAAGUCUCUAGCCUGGUUUGGGUUCACCCAGGGAAAUUCUGUGUUUCAGCAGACCUGCUUGGCAUGGGAGUUGGGCCGCCUAUAGAAACAAGAAGACACAUCUGCAUUCCCUCCUUCCUCUACACUUUAUUCUGACUGCACUUGUCCCAACUUCUGUUCUUUUCUCAUACUUGCACAUUACAUGUACCUGUGAGGGGAGCCAAUGGACAGAGGAAAACUAACUGCUGCAGGGCAUAGAGGGGUAUAAGACGGAGGACCGGGAACAGCGGAAAAGAGAGAUGGCUGCUGGGAAGGAUGAUAAGAGACAGAAAAGAGUAAAUGCAGUCUUGGGUAGCUAGAGGAACAGUUGUUCUUCAUCCUUUUCUGACCUUGGGUGCAUUCAGUCAAUAUGUACCCAAUUUAAUAGGAAAGCAAAGUUGAGCUGAGGUGGCCAGGAAGAUUUCUGUCAUUGUUCUUCUAAUUAUUUGACUGUACCUCUGAAGGUGGUCUUCAAAAAUGCUGAAGUGCGGGGGGCACAGCCAAGUUGGCGUAGUGAAAGCAGUGACUUACUUGAGCUCUCCUCCAAACCCCUCCAAAUACUCAUAAAAAAUGGCUCUAAACAAAUUCUGAAGCAGCAGAACCCACAAAAAGACAGAGUGAAACAAAUUUCCAGCCCAGACAACCUGGAUGAUUGAUCAGAAAGGUGUAUCACUCUGGGCUGGGAGCGGAGCACAGCGCACCACGGCAUCUGUGCACAGGCCACAGCGAACCUGGAGCAGGCCUCAGAGGACUGAAUCUCGGGCAGCUGUGGAGGUUUCCAGACUCCUCAAUCCACUAAUGCCAAAGACAACUUAGAAGGUCAGUGAGAAAAGUCUUUUUCUGUCAGUGCUUAGAAAAGAAGGCGGGUUUCCCGCUCCAUUCCCCCAGAGGGUGGCCCUGGGGGGAGCUGCUUCCCAAGCUUCCAGCCCACAGACUAAGGGGGAAACCAGUGGCUGAUCAGAGAGGGAUCGCAGGGAUCUCUUUGCCAGUGCUGAGACAGGAAUCUCUUGCUUUGCCCGUGUUUGGAUCUGGGCCACAGUUCUGGGCGGCAGUGCUGGGGUGAGGAGGAGUGCUGGUGUGGUGGAGCUUGUAGUGGCUGUGGAGAAGAAACCCUCUU